rnacentral:tRNA from 1 species
GGUUUGCGGCUCAGUGGUAAAGCGCUUGCCCAGCAUGCAUGAGGCACUGAGUUCAAUCCCUGUACCA